UGGGGAAUAUUGCGCAAUGGGGGCAACCCUGACGCAGCCAUGCCGCGUGAAUGAAGAAGGCCUUCGGGUUGUAAAGUUCUUUCGGUGAUGAGGAAGGCGGUUAGUUUAAUAGGCUAAUCGAUUGACGUUAAUCACAGAAGAAGCACCGGCUAACUCCGUGCCAGCAGCCGCGGUAAUACGGAGGGUGCGAGCGUUAAUCGGAAUAACUGGGCGUAAAGGGCACGCAGGCGGUUGCUUAAGUGGGGUGUGAAAUCCCCGGGCUUAACCUGGGAAUUGCAUUUCAGACUGGGCAGCUAGAGUAUUUUAGGGAGGGGUAGAAUUCCACGUGUAGCGGUGAAAUGCGUAGAGAUGUGGAGGAAUACCGAAGGCGAAGGCAGCCCCUUGGGGAAAUACUGACGCUCAUGUGCGAAAGCGUGGGGAGCAAACAGGAUUAGAUACCCUGGUAGUCCCUGAGACUCCAAGGCACACA
rnacentral:rRNA from 1 species